rnacentral:rRNA from 1 species
AAUGAACGCUGGCGGUGUGCCUAAUACAUGCAAGUCGAGCGAAAAGACGGGGAGCUUGCGCCUCUGCCGUUGGCGGCGGACGGGCGAGUAACAAGUGGAUCGCCUUCCUCUUAUACUGGGGUGACUACGGGAGAACACAGAUGAUACCAGCUCAUAUAAUGUACCGCUUGAAUCAAUAGUGCUUCACGGUUUUGCUGUCACUUUUAGACGGUUCCGCGCCGCAUUAGCUAGUUGGUAAGGUAACGGCUCACCAAGGCAACGAUGCGUAGCCGACCUGAGAGGAUGAUCGGCCACACUGGAACUGAGACACGGUCCAGACUCCUACGGGAGGCAGCAGUAGGGAAUCUUCCGCAAUGGGCGAAAGCCUGACGGAGCAACACCGCGUGAGUGAAGAAGGUCUUCGGAUCGUAAAACUCUGUUAUUAGGGAAGAACAAAUGUGGAAGUAACUCUGCACGUUUUGACGGUACCUAAACAGAAAGCCACGGCUAACUUCGUG